AACUAGCUAACUGAAAUCAUAAAAUCAUUAAUAGUGUUGAUAUGAUAACGUAAGGGGAAAAUUUGAUAUUACCUUACUAUUAGUGUUGUCCAAAACUGGUGCCAGAAGACUCGGUAAGGCCAGAUACGCAAACGUUAAUCGUCCUAAUCAGGCGUAAAGGGUAUGUAGGCUGCUUUGAAAAUUUUAACUAUAAAAGCUCGAGCUAUAUCCUAACUAUACUUAAAGCUAUAGUUGGGAUAUAUUAACUUAUGUCUUAGGCCUAGUUGCUAAAGCAAUAGCUGUACUCUCCUUAUAACAUAUGAAGAUUACACCCUAAAGCUGUAGCUACAGUGCCAUAGGCCUCCCUUCCCUUUUUGUGAAUGGGAGGGUUUUUAUAAAAAUAAUAAAAUUAUUAAAAGCUAGAAUCAUAAGGAGGAUAAACCAAAUAAUACUUAGAGUAGGGUUGAUAUCUGCAGAUACUAAGGGGAAUACUAACGGUGAAAGCUUUUUAUCUAAUAAUGAUUGACGCUGAGAAACGAAGGUGAGAAUAGGAAAUAGGAUUAGAUACCCAGAUACCUCUCACUGUCAACGAUGAAUGGUAGUUGUUAGUCAUAUUAAAACUGAUAACGAUGUUAACACGAUAACCAUUCCGCCUUGCGAGUACGGUUGCAAAACUGAAACCAAAAAAAUUAGUCGGUCUCGAAGCAAACGAAGUGAAGCAUGUUA
rnacentral:rRNA from 1 species